GUGCCAGCAGCCGCGGUAAAACGUAGGGGGCGAGCGUUGUCCGGAAUUACUGGGCGUAAAGGGCACGCAGGCGGUACGCCAAGUCGGAGGUGUAAAGUUACGGCUCAACCGUGACCUUGCAAUCGAUACUGGCGUACUGGAGUGCGGGAGAGGGAAGUGGAAUUCCCGGUGUAGCGGUGAAAUGCGUAGAUAUCGGGAGGAACGCCAGUGGCGAAGGCGGCUUCCUGGCCCGCAACUGACGCUCAUGUGCGAAAGCCAGGGGAGCGAACCGGAUUAGAUACCCGGGUAGUCCUGGCCGUAAACGAGGGGUGCUAGGUGUAGGCGCGUCAAGCGUCUGUGCCGCAGUUAACGCGAUAGGCACCUCGCCUGGGGAGUACGGUCGCUAGACUGAAACUCAAAGGAAUUGGCGG
rnacentral:rRNA from 1 species